UGAAAAUAUGUGGAGUGUGGAUAUGAAGAGCUAUCUAGGGUCUGCAGUCAUUGAUGUCAAUGUUCAAGGUGGUGUUUAAGACUGCUCAGGAAUAAGGUUCUACCAGACCUGUUGAAUUUCUCCAGCACCUUGUGGUUUUGUUUCAGAUUAUUGGUCACAGCCAUCUCUGUGAAGCACAAGUAAUCACAGCAACCUUAAAAUGGGAGAAAGCAGUGGAGGACAGCGGUAUGCUACAAAUAAAGGAAGGAGGGCAAGCAUGCCCAAAUGGCUAUCAAGGAAAGGAAUAGUGAUGAAGCUGUGAUCAAUGGCAAGG